rnacentral:rRNA from 1 species
UAAACUUCUUUUAUUAAGGACGAAGAAAGUGACGGUACUUAAUGAAUAAGCUCCGGCUAACUACGUGCCAGCAGCCGCGGUAAUACGUAGGGAGCAAGCGUUGUCCGGAUUUACUGGGUGUAAAGGGUGCGUAGGCGGCUUUGCAAGUCAGAUGUGAAAUCUAUGGGCUCAACCCAUAGCCUGCAUUUGAAACUGCAGAGCUUGAGUGAAGUAGAGGCAGGCGGAAUUCCCCGUGUAGCGGUGAAAUGCGUAGAGAUGGGGAGGAACACCAGUGGCGAAGGCGGCCUGCUGGGCUUUAACUGACGCUGAGGCACGAAAGCGUGGGUAGCAAACAGGAUUAGAUACCCUGGUAGUCCACGCUGUAAACGAUGAUUACUAGGUGUGGGGGGUCUGACCCCUUCCGUGCCGGAGUUAACACAAUAAGUAAUCCACCUGGGGAGUACGGCCGCAAGGUUGAAACUCAAAGGAAUUGACGGGGGCCCGCACAAGCAGUGGAGUAUGUGGUUUAAUUCGAAGCAACGCGAAGAACCUUACCAGGUCUUGACAUCCUACUAACGAGAUAGAGAUAUGU